rnacentral:rRNA from 1 species
AUGGCUCCGGCGGCAAAGGUUUCAGCCACGGGCGGCCGCCCAAAAGCUGAUGGCGGGGCUGCACCAAGGUGCAGCGGCAGGCUGGCGGCAAAGCCUUCCAGUCAGCUCUCCAGCUUGGACAAGGCGCUGUUCGUCCUGAUGAAGAAAGAAGGGGCGACCCCUGAUCUGGCGGCUGCUAUGCCUGAAGGGAUCGAGCGCAUCAAGAACAUUUGCCAAAAGCCGCUCCCCUCGGCGUUUGUGGCUGCAAUCUCCUCCCUCAUGGCCGCCUCCAGCCCUGCUAAGAAGGCCAAGGCCCAAGCUAUGGCGCCAGGGCUCGCGGCAUCCUAG